UCGUGCAAAGUGUGAGAGUGCACACGCCGAGUGCUGUCGCUGGCUCUCAAGGAGUCGUGCACGCCCGGAGCGUGUCCUCUCACAUAACACAAUCCAUCUCACCCUUUGUGCACCACCGCGUGGGCACCCUCCUCGGAGGGGGCUCGCGUUUUCACACAACCCCCCCUUUAAAAAGCGUAGAAUGCAUUUGUUAUUGAAAUCAAUA
rnacentral:misc_RNA from 1 species